UUCGUAGGUGGUGCGGCAAGUUGGGAGUGAAAUCUCUGGGCUUAACUCAGAGGCUGCUUUCAAAACUGCCGUGCUCGAGUGCGGGAGAGGCCAGUGGAAUUGCAGGUGUAGCGGUGAAAUGCGUAGAUAUCUGCAGGAACACCCGUGGCGAAGGCGGCUGGCUGGACCGCAACUGACACUGAGGAACGAAAGCUAGGGGAGCAAACAGGAUUAGAUACCCUGGUAGUCCUAGCCCUAAACCAUCAGAACUUGGGGUGGCCCGCGUAGGCGGGUCGUCCCGCAGCUAACGCGUUAAGUUCUGCGCCUGGGGAGUACGGUCGCAAGACUGAA
rnacentral:rRNA from 1 species